GGGCUCGUAGUUCAGUUGGCUAGAGCAUUGGCUGUGGUAAAACCUUCACCUUGCUGGCGUGGGUUCGAAUCCCACCGAGGCCG
rnacentral:tRNA from 1 species